UGAAGGCAAUCGUUUCCUAAAAUAAAGUUCUUGCAGGAUAAACACUGUGCCGGGCCGGGCCCCCAACAACCUUCGUCGGAACAUUGCUCGUCGCACACUAGUCCAUCUUUUACUGCAAUCGUAAAAAGAAAGUAAGAAAUUAAUAAAAUGGACUUACCUCUGAGGGCUGGCAUCUCCAAAUUUUGCAUCUGACACAUCGUGACGAAUAGGGCGAACUCGAUGUCAUGAAUGAAUUAUCGACACAACUACGGUGACAUUUCGUAAAUGACUGAGAUAUAGAGACUGGUCGCACGACUUCCGUACGUCAACGACCCUCUCCGUUCAUAGAAUCACGGAGUGGAACGGUGGCUGAGGUCGCCACCCACAUCGUCGAAAACGCUUCCACGAUCUAUAGAUAGCUUUCUAAACUUUGAAACCGUGCCAGUGGGCGAAUCACUUCCAUAACACGCGUGCACGUUUGAUUUCGUUGAGCAACUACGUGUGAAAGACUCUACGACGAAGAUACUUAUGAUUAUGCGUCGAUAAUA